rnacentral:lncRNA from 1 species
CGCCUGCGCGCCGCGUCCGCUGUCCGCGCCUGCGCGCCUCUCUCCCCGCCCAACCCACGACGCGGGCGCUCCUCACUCUCGCAACGGUCACGCAGACCCCGCCUCUGCGAACCCGGCCAAGUCCCGAGCGGAAGCGCCUUGAGCGGAAGCGGAAGUGAACGAGGCGGCUGUGGCGGUGGCUGAGGCGGCUGGGCCUAGGGUGCAGCGGGCGCGUCUGCGGCUGGUGUUGGCGCAUCUCUAGGUAGGGCAAUCACACUAUGAAGCCCAGUUUCCACUUCAAAAACUCAAAUACCUUGGCUAUGUUUC